GACGAACGCUGGCGGCGUGCUUAACACAUGCAAGUCGAACGGAAAGGCCCCUUCGGGGGUGCUCGAGUGGCGAACGGGUGAGUAACACGUGGGUGAUCUGCCCUGCACUUUGGGAUACGCCUGGGAAACUGGGUCUAAUACCGGAUAGGACUCCGAGAUGCAUGUCUUGGGGUGGAAAGCGCUUUUGCGGUGUGGGAUGGGCCCGCGGCCUAUCAGCUUGUUGGUGGGGUGAUGGCCUACCAAGGCGACGACGGGUAGCCGGCCUGAGAGGGUGUCCGGCCACACUGGGACUGAGAUACGGCCCAGACUCCUACGGGAGGCAGCAGUGGGGAAUAUUGCACAAUGGGCGCAAGCCUGAUGCAGCGACGCCGCGUGAGGGAUGACGGCCUUCGGGUUGUAAACCUCUUUCAGCAGGGACGAAGCGCAAGUGACGGUACCUGCAGAAGAAGCACCGGCCAACUACGUGCCAGCAGCCGCAGUAAAAC
rnacentral:rRNA from 1 species